GGAGUCUGGGCCGUGUCUCAGUCCCAAUGUGACCGUUCAUCCUCUCAGACCGGUUACCGAUCGUCGGCUAGGUAAGCCGUUACCCCACCUACUACCUAAUCGGACGCAGACCCCUCUUUAAGCGAUAAAUCUUUGAUUUGAAAUUCAUGCGGACUUCAAAUAACAUUCGGUAUUAGCAACCCUUUCGAGUUGUUGUCCCCAACUUAAAGGCAGGUUAUCUACGCGUUACUCACCCGUUCGCCACUAGGUACAAGUACCCCGUUCGACUUGCAUGUGUUAAGCACGCCGCCAGCGUUC
rnacentral:rRNA from 1 species